UUGAAAGUUAGGAACUUUAAAAAUCAAGUGAUAGUAGGACAGAGUUGUAAAGACAUGCUUCGAAUGACCGGUCAUUACUUUCAUUGGUUCAUUCAUAUUUGUAAGGGAACUGGUAGAUUGAAUAACACUAUACAUUAUAAUGUAGAAGAACAGAUUGCUAUGUUUCUACACAUUUUGGAACACAAUAUGAGAAAUCGAGCCAUUCUACAUACUUAUGAGCGAUCUGGUGAGACCGUAAAUAGGUAUUUCAGAUUAAUAUUCAAGAUACUCCUCAAGAUGCAAAAUAAAUUUAUUCAUCCACCGAAGAAUGAAACACUAAGCUAUAUUGCAAACAAUAAUAGAUUGAUGCUUUACUUCAAGGAUUGCAUUGGGGUUAUUGAUGGAACUCAUAUCCCAGUAUCAGUUGCACCUACGUAUGAGGGUAGGUUUAGGG